AUUGAACGCUGGCGGCAGGCUUAACACAUGCAAGUCGAACGAGUGGCGGACGGGUGAGUAAUGCUUGGGAAUCUGGCUUAUGGAGGGGGAUAACUACUGGAAACGGUAGCUAAUACCGCAUACCAUCAGAUGUGCCCAGUUGGGAUUAGGUAGUUGGUGAGGUAAAGGCUCACCAAGCCGACGAUCUCUAGCUGGUCUGAGGGGAUGACCAGCCACACUGGGACUGAGACACGGCCCAGACUCCUACGGGAGGCAGCAGUGGGGAAUAUUGCGCAAUGGGGGCAACCCUGACGCAGCCAUGCCGCGUGAAUGAAGAAGGCCUUCGGGUUGUAAAGUUCUUUCGGUAGCGAGGCGUUAACUACAGAAGAAGCACCGGCUAACUCCGUGCCAGCAGCCGCGGUAAUUC
rnacentral:rRNA from 1 species